rnacentral:lncRNA from 1 species
UUUACUUCCAUGUGGGAAAAAGGGUCUCCAUUCCUCUCUCCUGAAUCUAGAGCAAAGGUCAACCAAAGCCAUUAGUAGACUCAGUGCUCUCCAGCUGCCAAAACGAGUAUCUUAUCAACCAAGCGUGGGGGCUGAGAGCCAACCUGGGAGGGGCUGAGCGGGUGCCUCUGGACCAGAGACUGAGAUCCCGCAGCCCACGGAGAGGACAGACUCUCCCGAUAGACAACCCGAGGAGACCACCUGAUGAAGAAGGACCGGAAGUGUUUUACACGCAAACUCAUUCACAAAUAGAUUCAUCAAGGGGGACAGUUACCAAGUGAGAUUAAAGCCGUGGGAAGUUCAAGCGAUGAUGGAGGAAGGUAGGUGAGGAAAGGCGUAAAUGGAGGAGAGGAAUGAAUGGACAUGGAGAAAGGCGAGAGGGGACAAACAAGUCAGAGGAGAAAUGAGCAGGAACGUUGGACUUCGAACGGAAGCAGGCGCCCCGGGGCUGACGUGGUCAGGACAACCCGGAAGCCUGGCCUGGAGGGGCCAAACGACGGCCACUCGCAGAGCAGGGGCGGACGCAGAGCUGGCACACGAACACCAGCCUCCUCCGGGGUCGGGGGUGAACCCCGGCCUCACCCUCCUCUCAGGCCGGCUGGAGGGCGGGCGUGAAGGACAGCGGAGGAGGGGGAGAGGCAGCCGUUACCCUGGGGCGCACCUCUCGGCACCCUGUAAGCUCCAGGCCCGCCAGCGGCUGGGCACGCUCCACAGAGACCCAGGGGCCAGCUGUCACUCUCCCCUGCCCAUGUCUUUGGCUCUGACCCAGGGGCAUCACAGCCCUGGCCACACGUCCCCUGGGAGAUUUUGCAAAUGCGGAUGCCCUGACCAAGGGUAUCAGGGGCUUGGAAGCGGGACACGUGUCUACAGAGUCUUCAGAGCUCUUCAGCCAAGGUGCAAACCGCCUCCAUCCAGCCCAGCUCAGCCGAGCCCUCUGGGAGCUCACCUUUCGUGCUCCAAAGUGUCAUCCAGGUCCACCUUGUUGUGUGUGGACCACUCGUCACACGAGCCUGGCGUGUGUGUCCGAACUCUCUGGACCUCCCUGGGAAGAGCGCUGGGCCAGUCUGUGGAAAGGCAAACAGGUGCGGGUAAAUUCCAGCAGAGCAAAUCCCCAGCUGAGAGACAGUGGCGAGCCUCAGGCCAGCUCCGAGAUACAGCGUAG